AUACGUAGGGUGCAAGCGUUAAUCGGAAUUACUGGGCGUAAAGCGUGCGCAGGCGGUUUUGUAAGACAGUGGUGAAAUCCCCGGGCUCAACCUGGGAACUGCCAUUGUGACUGCAAGGCUGGGGUGCGGCAGAGGGGGAUGGAAUUCCGCGUGUGGCAGUGAAAUGCGUAGAUAUGCGGAGGAACACCGAUGGCGAAGGCAAUCCCCUGGGCCUGCACUGACGCUCAUGCACGAAAGCGUGGGGAGCAAACAGGAUUAGAUACCCUGGUAGUCCACGCCCUAAACGAUGUCAACUGGUUGUUGGGGAUUUAUUUUCUCAGUAACGAAGCUAACGCGUGAAGUUGACCGCCUGGGGAGUACGGCCGCAAGGUUAAAACUCAAAUGAAUUGACGGGG
rnacentral:rRNA from 1 species